rnacentral:lncRNA from 1 species
GAGGGGCAGAGUGAGGUCAGGCUCCGUCGGUUUCUGCACAUGUGUCUCAUCCACUGUUUAUGAAGAACCAGAACCAGGAAUAUUCUGGAUCUGAACCCGGAAAGAAAAACAGGACGAAGCUGAAACUGGAUUUAUGAGCAGGUCUGCACGGGACUAAACCUGGACUAAACCAGACUGUGAGCACGUUUACCCUCUGAGUCCGAGUCUGUGUGAGGACUGACCCUGGAUCAGACCUGGACCUGCUGCAGAAAAGAGUCUGAAAAGUAAAGGAGUUUUUCCUCCUGGUCAAUUCAAACAUGUGUCUCCUCUGAGCUUCUCACAGCAGAGUCACCGGGAAAGACUUUUAUAAAGCACCUGAAGGACCUCAGUGACCUCCUCAUGGCUCGGUGGUGUGUUUCCGUAGCAACAGCGCUGCUCUGUUUGGGACUGAUGUUUCUUCAGAUCAAACCGACAUCUGCGCUGGACUCCGCCCACACAGAACCUGGACAUCACUUCCUGUCUGAUGUCACCGUGAUCCGUCCAAUCAGAACGGACUCUAAGGGGCGUGCCCUUCCUGGCCCUGCCUCCUGGCCUCGCCACAGGAAUUAUUUUACAACCUGACUCUGCAGGGAGCGGAGCUGCACUUUCAUCUGCGAAUCAGCACGCGGCUCACGGCGCCUGGCGCCACCCUCCUGUGGGAGGAGUCAGGCGAGUCUGAGCCAAUCACGGAACAGCACUGCCUCUACUCAGGCCACACCUCCAACGAACCGCGAAUCAGCGCCGCCGUCAACGUCUGCGACGGACUGGAGGGCGUGAUACUGACCCCUGCUGGAGACUUUUACAUCGAGCCGCUGCUGAAGAACGGCUUGGACCUGGACCAGGACCAUGUGAUCCACAGACCGGCUCAGCAGCAACCAGCCAAUCAGAGCGCAGAGCAGGAGGCUCCGCCCACAGACUUCCUCCGAGGUCCAGUGUUUGGUGCUGACGUCCUGAGAUUCCGAGGCUCCUGGUCCGGUCUGGGGUCCGGUCUCAGGUUCAGUUUUGGUUCUGGUCGAGACUCAGCGCAGAUUCUGAAGAGGAGACGGAGGUCGACUGAAGCAGAACUUUUCCACAUCGAGGUCAGUCCCUGCUCUGAGGCUUUGACUCGUUUAGUUUAUUAGUUUAUUAAAUUAUUAGUUUAUUGGUU